rnacentral:rRNA from 1 species
GGACCCGCACAAGUAGUGGAGCAUGUGGUUUAAUUCGAAGAUACGCGCAGAACCUUACCAACACUUGACAUGUUCGUCGCGACUCUAAGAGAUUAGAGUUUUCGGUUCGGCCGGACGAAACACAGGUGCUGCAUGGCUGUCGUCAGCUCGUGUCGUGAGAUGUUGGGUUAAGUCCCGCAACGAGCGCAACCCUCACUUUUAGUUGCCAUCAUUAAGUUGGGCACUCUGAAAGAACUGCCAGUGAUAAGCUGGAGGAAGGUGGGGAUGACGUCAAGUCCUCAUGGCCCUUACGGGUUGGGCUACACACGUGCCUACAAUGGCAGUGACAAUGGGUUAAUCCCCCAAAAACUGUCUCAGU